rnacentral:rRNA from 1 species
ACUAAGCGUACACGGUGGAUGCCCUGGCAGUCAGAGGCGAUGAAGGACGUGCUAAUCUGCGAUAAGCGUCGGUAAGGUGAUAUGAACCGUUAUAACCGGCGAUUUCCGAAUGGGGAAACCCAGUGUGUUUCGACACACUAUCAUUAACUGAAUCCAUAGGUUAAUGAGGCGAACCGGGGGAACUGAAACAUCUAAGUACCCCGAGGAAAAGAAAUCAACCGAGAUUCCCCCAGUAGCGGCGAGCGAACGGGGAGCAGCCCAGAGCCUGAAUCAGUGUGUGUGUUAGUGGAAGCGUCUGGAAAGGCGCGCGAUACAGGGUGACAGCCCCGUACACAAAAAUGCACAUGCUGUGAGCUCGAUGAGUAGGGCGGGACACGUGGUAUCCUGUCUGAAUAUGGGGGGACCAUCCUCCAAGGCUAAAUACUCCUGACUGACCGAUAGUGAACCAGUACCGUGAGGGAAAGGCGAAAAGAACCCCGGCGAGGGGAGUGAAAAAGAACCUGAAACCGUGUACGUACAAGCAGUGGGAGCANNNNNNNNNNNGUGUGACUGCGUACCUUUUGUAUAAUGGGUCAGCGACUUAUAUUCUGUAGCAAGGUUAACCGAAUAGGGGAGCCGAAGGGAAACCGAGUCUUAACUGGGCGUUAAGUUGCAGGGUAUAGACCCGAAACCCGGUGAUCUAGCCAUGGGCAGGUUGAAGGUUGGGUAACACUAACUGGAGGACCGAACCGACUAAUGUUGAAAAAUUAGCGGAUGACUUGUGGCUGGGGGUGAAAGGCCAAUCAAACCGGGAGAUAGCUGGUUCUCCCCGAAAGCUAUUUAGGUAGCGCCUCGUGAAUUCAUCUCCGGGGGUAGAGCACUGUUUCGGCAAGGGGGUCAUCCCGACUUACCAACCCGAUGCAAACUGCGAAUACCGGAGAAUGUUAUCACGGGAGACACACGGCGGGUGCUAACGUCCGUCGUGAAGAGGGAAACAACCCAGACCGCCAGCUAAGGUCCCAAAGUCAUGGUUAAGUGGGAAACGAUGUGGGAAGGCCCAGACAGCCAGGAUGUUGGCUUAGAAGCAGCCAUCAUUUAAAGAAAGCGUAAUAGCUCACUGGUCGAGUCGGCCUGCGCGGAAGAUGUAACGGGGCUAAACCAUGCACCGAAGCUGCGGCAGCGACACUAUGUGUUGUUGGGUAGGGGAGCGUUCUGUAAGCCUGUGAAGGUGUGCUGUGAGGCAUGCUGGAGGUAUCAGAAGUGCGAAUGCUGACAUAAGUAACGAUAAAGCGGGUGAAAAGCCCGCUCGCCGGAAGACCAAGGGUUCCUGUCCAACGUUAAUCGGGGCAGGGUGAGUCGACCCCUAAGGCGAGGCCGAAAGGCGUAGUCGAUGGGAAACAGGUUAAUAUUCCUGUACUUGGUGUUACUGCGAAGGGGGGACGGAGAAGGCUAUGUUGGCCGGGCGACGGUUGUCCCGGUUUAAGCGUGUAGGCUGGUUUUCCAGGCAAAUCCGGAAAAUCAAGGCUGAGGCGUGAUGACGAGGCACUACGGUGCUGAAGCAACAAAUGCCCUGCUUCCAGGAAAAGCCUCUAAGCAUCAGGUAACAUCAAAUCGUACCCCAAACCGACACAGGUGGUCAGGUAGAGAAUACCAAGGCGCUUGAGAGAACUCGGGUGAAGGAACUAGGCAAAAUGGUGCCGUAACUUCGGGAGAAGGCACGCUGAUAUGUAGGUGAAGUCCCUUGCGGAUGGAGCUGAAAUCAGUCGAAGAUACCAGCUGGCUGCAACUGUUUAUUAAAAACACAGCACUGUGCAAACACGAAAGUGGACGUAUACGGUGUGACGCCUGCCCGGUGCCGGAAGGUUAAUUGAUGGGGUUAGCGCAAGCGAAGCUCUUGAUCGAAGCCCCGGUAAACGGCGGCCGUAACUAUAACGGUCCUAAGGUAGCGAAAUUCCUUGUCGGGUAAGUUCCGACCUGCACGAAUGGCGUAAUGAUGGCCAGGCUGUCUCCACCCGAGACUCAGUGAAAUUGAACUCGCUGUGAAGAUGCAGUGUACCCGCGGCAAGACGGAAAGACCCCGUGAACCUUUACUAUAGCUUGACACUGAACAUUGAGCCUUGAUGUGUAGGAUAGGUGGGAGGCUUAGAAGUGUGGACGCCAGUCUGCAUGGAGCCGACCUUGAAAUACCACCCUUUAAUGUUUGAUGUUCUAACGUUGACCCGUAAUCCGGGUUGCGGACAGUGUCUGGUGGGUAGUUUGACUGGGGCGGUCUCCUCCUAAAGAGUAACGGAGGAGCACGAAGGUUGGCUAAUCCUGGUCGGACAUCAGGAGGUUAGUGCAAUGGCAUAAGCCAGCUUGACUGCGAGCGUGACGGCGCGAGCAGGUGCGAAAGCAGGUCAUAGUGAUCCGGUGGUUCUGAAUGGAAGGGCCAUCGCUCAACGGAUAAAAGGUACUCCGGGGAUAACAGGCUGAUACCGCCCAAGAGUUCAUAUCGACGGCGGUGUUUGGCACCUCGAUGUCGGCUCAUCACAUCCUGGGGCUGAAGUAGGUCCCAAGGGUAUGGCUGUUCGCCAUUUAAAGUGGUACGCGAGCUGGGUUUAGAACGUCGUGAGACAGUUCGGUCCCUAUCUGCCGUGGGCGCUGGAGAACUGAGGGGGGCUGCUCCUAGUACGAGAGGACCGGAGUGGACGCAUCACUGGUGUUCGGGUUGUCAUGCCAAUGGCACUGCCCGGUAGCUAAAUGCGGAAGAGAUAAGUGCUGAAAGCAUCUAAGCACGAAACUUGCCCCGAGAUGAGUUCUCCCUGACUCCUUGAGAGUCCUGAAGGAACGUUGAAGACGACGACGUUGAUAGGCCGGGUGUGUAAGCGCAGCGAUGCGUUGAGCUAACCGGUACUAAUGAACCGUGAGGCUUAACC